CCUACGGGCGGCAGCAGUGGGGAAUAUUGGGCAAUGGGCGCAAGCCUGACCCAGCAACGCCGCGUGAAGGAAGAAGGCCCUCGGGUGGUAAACUUCUUUUAUCAAGGACGAAAAAAAUGACGGUACGUGAUGAAUAAGCCACGGCUAACUACGUGCCAGCAGCAGCGGUAAUACGUAGGUGGCAAGCGUUAUGCGGAUUUAGUGGGUUUAAAGGGUGCGCAGGCGGAUUUUUAAGUCAGCGGUCAAGUCGUGGGGCGCAACCCCAUCCAGCCGUUGAUACUGGGGUUCUAGGGUGUGCGAGAGGUAUGAGGAAUGUGUGGUGUAGCGGUGAAAUGCAUAGAUAUCACGCAGAACCCCGAUUGCGAAGGCAGCAUACCGGUGCACAACUGACGCUCAUGCACGAAAGCGUGGGUAUCGAACAGGAUUAGAUACCCCUGUAGUC
rnacentral:rRNA from 1 species